GCGCUCGUGGCGAAACUGGUAGACGCGCCUGGCUCAAACCCAGGUGAUCCUCGAUCAUGCAGGUUCAAACCCUGCCGAGCGCA
rnacentral:tRNA from 1 species